UGAACCUGUAUCCUCACGGAUACUAUAUUGGAUUCUUAACCCCCUGAGCUGCAAUGGGAACUCCUGGCUUUAGACUCUUAGGCACCGCCCUAUGUGACUUUAACAGUAUUUGUUGAGCACCUAAUAACCAGCAGUUUCUUCAGAUAUCUUAUUUGUUACCUCUGGAAGUCAGGAACAACAGUGUGAGAGUCUUGCCUGAGGUCAAAGGGCUGCAAAGGGGGGCAGCCAGGGCAGCCUGGUCCCCAAACCCGGCCACCACCCCCAUUGCCCCCAUCGUCAUCAUCAUAGUAUAUUCAUCCCCGUCAGAUGCUAUCCUUGCGAAUUAGCCGGAUUAGCUGUCUUUACUCUCUCUUCCUCCUUCCCCAGAAUAUCACAUCUUUAUUCAUCCUUAUAACCCCAGCACCUUGCACAGUUCCUGGGCCCUGCUCACCAUGUGAUAAAUACUUGAGGGAAUAAAGGACUUGAGGAACUGGUCUGACUGACAGCAACCAAGGAAGACAUUUUGCUUAACCUGUUUAAAUAGAAUAUGCAACGCAUGAUACGAAUUUGUCGUGUGAACUUGGCUCUCUAACACAAGACAACAAGAAAAGUUGACAUUUACAGUGCUGAAAAUCUCUAAACUCCGUGUGAGGGAUGUGGCCAAGAGCACCUGGAGAGACCACCGAUGCUCUGGCUGCAGCUCUAGAAGGGGGGAGAGUGUGAAUUUGGCUCCUUCUCACUCACUUCCUACCUGGGACCUUUGUUCUCCCAGCUCUUGGGGCACGCUGGUGUGUGCAGGCUGAUUCCACCUCCAUGUCCUUUAUCAAAGUUUUCUUUUGCCUGGUGGUUGAUACUGUAUCAGUUGUUACUUCAGGGCAGAAGCCCAGAGGUCUGUGAGUCUCCCUGGGCCACUUCUAGUUCCACAGUUGCUCAUGGCAAUGCUGGAUCCUCAACCCACGAGGCCAGGGAUCGAACUCAUGUCCUCUUGGAUCCUAGUCGGGUUCAUUACUAGGCACAACAGGAACUCCACCCCAGUAGGUUUUGAUGGCCGGUUUUCUCUCCUGCAGCUGAAUGGGCUCUUACAGUGUCCUGGGUUUGAGGAUUUGGGACUUCUUUUUACUGUUUACUGCAGCAGGCAAUCAAUGCGAUUCCUACUCAGUAACUCUCCUCCCCACUUGAAAUUCUCCUCUCUCCCACUUGUGACUUUGCAAAACCCACAGAAACAGGCCAACUCUGGUCUCUGAGCAGGGCUGAGCUUCUGGUAGAAAAAACUGGCAGAAAGCUGAGUUUGUUGAAACGAGAAGGAAUAGAGCACUACCAAAACAGCUUAUGCACAAAGCAACUGAUCCUUGCUUUAUUUCUGUCGUCCCCUGGGAGACAUACAGCGAGUGGGCGGGAAAGGUCUGAAUUCGUCAGUGUGCUGGGGUGGGUUGAAAAGAAAUCUGGGGUACUUUCCGUGGUUUGUCACACGCAAGGUUUCAUAGGCAGGAAACUGCCAAGAGGUCUACUUUAUCUUCUAUCCUGAUUACAACGUAGAAGACUUCCCUUUGUAACAUCCGAAAAUCCCCCAAGUGAAUCAAGUAGAAGCAACUGUAGAUUUUCCAAACCCAGCCAGGAAAGAGCAGCUAAAGCUUAUCGAGCACUGAAGGUAUGGCAAGCUUUGUGCCACAUGCUUUACCUGAGCUGAUGGACUGAAACCUCCAGGUCCUCCGGAUCCGAACCAUUAAAGGCUGUUGCCAUCCUGGCUUUACAGAGAAGGAACCCAAGGCACAGAAAAGUUAGGUAAAUUGAUUGCUCACAUGUCACAUCAUUUGGCGGUGGUGGGCAGGAACUAAGCCUGUGGAGUUUACCUAUCUGACUCCCGUCAUUAGAAGACACAUUUGACAAGAUGAUACUGAUUUCACUGAGCAGUUUCCUUGCAGGCCUCCAAGGCCAGUCUUCGUGUUAUUAUCACUGUGCAAACAUUAAAAUAACUGUCAUUUAUUUAUCCUCAAAUGCCGACUGAACACCUGUGAUCUGCCAUGCGCUGGGCAAGGCCAUACCAAUGUAAUCACUAGUAAUUACUUGCUUUACUUGCUUUAUUUCAUUUAAUCCUCAUAACAGCUUUUUCACGUAGGUCCUAUUAUGAUCAGGUAAAGAACUGACGUGGUAGAGCACACAGAAGCGGAAAUAUGUGGCUAGACUAUGUGAAAUACUGUACACAGAAAACUUGCGGUGUUAUAAACAUCAUUUAUAUAACAAUUGUAUAAAUUCUAUGAUGUAUAUAUUAUAAUGUUAAUUUAU
ensembl:lncRNA